rnacentral:tRNA from 1 species
GGGGUUGUGGCUCCGUGGUAGAGUGCUUACCUAGCAUGGGUGAGGCACUGGGUUCAAUCCCCAGCACCACA